rnacentral:rRNA from 1 species
CAUGCAAGUCGAACGAUGCUUUCGGGCAUAGUGGCGCACGGGUGCGUAACGCGUGGGAAUCUGCCUUGGGGUACGGAAUAACUCAGAGAAAUUUGAGCUAAUACCGUAUGAUGUCUUCGGACCAAAGAUUUAUCGCCCUGAGAUGAGCCCGCGUAGGAUUAGCUAGUUGGUGGGGUAAAGGCCUACCAAGGCGACGAUCCUUAGCUGGUCUGAGAGGAUGAUCAGCCACACUGGGACUGAGACACGGCCCAGACUCCUACGGGAGGCAGCAGUGGGGAAUAUUGGACAAUGGGCGAAAGCCUGAUCCAGCAAUGCCGCGUGAGUGAUGAAGGCCUUAGGGUUGUAAAGCUCUUUUACCCGGGAAGAUAAUGACUGUACCGGGAGAAUAAGCCCCGGCUAACUCCGUGCCAGCAGCCGCGGUAAUACGGAGGGGGCUAGCGUUGUUCGGAAUUACUGGGCGUAAAGCGCACGUAGGCGGCUUGGUAAGUUAGAGGUGAAAGCCUGGAGCUCAACUCCAGAAUUGCCUUUAAGACUGCCGAGCUAGCAGGUGAGAGAGGUAAGUGGAAUUCCGAGUG